UACGGAGGGUGCGAGCGUUGUUCGGAAUCAUUGGGCGUAAAGCGCGUGUAGGCGGGCGGGCAAGUCAAGUGUGAAAUCCCAGGGCUCAACCCCGGAAUUGCGCCUGAAACUGCUCGUCUUGAGUACGGGAGGGGGAAGCGGAAUUCUUGGUGUAGGGGUGAAAUCCGUAGAUAUCAGGAGGAACACCGAUGGCGAAGGCAGCUUCCUGGACCAGUACUGACGCUGAGACGCGAAAGCGUGGGGAGCAAAC
rnacentral:rRNA from 1 species